GCCAGCGAGUCAAGUCGGGAACUCUAAGGAGACUGCCGGUGAUAAACCGGAGGAAGGUGGGGAUGAUGUCAAGUCAUCAUGGCCCUUACGGGUAGGGCUACACACGUGCUACAAUGGGCAGUACAAAGGGUUGCCAAGCCGCGAGGUGGAGCUAAUCCCAGAAAACUGCUCGUAGUCCGGAUUGGAGUCUGCAACUCGACUCCAUGAAGUUGGAAUCGCUAGUAAUCGCGAAUCAGCAUGUCG
rnacentral:rRNA from 1 species